GGGAUCCACAGGAAUCAACAAGGAUCAACACAACUCAACCAACCCCACACCAGAGUUAGAGUCAUUGGUGAGUUGAAGCAGCAUGGCGGAUCAAAGGUUCGACUACUCAAAAACAGCAGCGGAGAGCAGCAAGGAGCCAAGAGGCGCAUUGUAGCUGGAGUAGAAGAUUGAAGACUCAGCAAAGGCGAGGAGUUGCAGUGUCGACAAAGGCUUCAACGAGGACGUCGAAGGAAUAAGUGGGGGAGAA
rnacentral:lncRNA from 1 species